GGCAUCUUAGCCAAGUGGUUAAGGCGACAGAUUCGAACUUGCCGUUCUAUCUGUUGGGGUCUCCCCGCGUAGGUUCAAAUCCUGCAGAUGUCG
rfam:Peniophora sp. CONT PENSPscaffold_73_Cont122, whole genome shotgun sequence.